rnacentral:ribozyme from 1 species
AGUGAAUUAAAAAGUAAAAAAUAAAAUCCAAAAGAAAAAGUUGACGCACCCUUCUUGUUUUUCUUUCUUAUCUUCUUUUCUUUUUCUUUUUCUUUUUUGUGU